ACGGUGCCUGGCUCGCCACCACGAGACGGCGCGAGCGGCAACGGCCGACGUUCAAUGCACGGGGCCUGCCACCUGGGCUCGAGGGAGAUGCGAUAGGCUGCGCGGAUGCUUCCGAAAGCCGCAAGAUCGGCCCACUGGCUCGAACUUCUGCUGGCGCUCGGCGCGCUCACACUGGCGAUCGUGAUCCCGCGCGCGUGCGCCUAGAAGUUCGGUUCCGCACCACUCAGCAGGUAAACCAGACGCUUGUGCUGGGUCCCUCGAGGUGCAUUGCGCGUGGUCGGCGCGUUGGCGAACG
rnacentral:misc_RNA from 1 species